AAUCAACGCUGGCGGCGUGCCUCAGACAUGCAAGUCGAACGAUUAAAGCUCCCUUCGGGGAGUGUAUAGAGUGGCGCACGGGUGAGUAACACGUAAGUAAUCUACCCUCGAGUGGGGAAUAACGUCCGGAAACGGACGCUAAUACCGCAUAAUGCAGCGGCACCGCAAGGUGACAGUUGUUAAAGAUUUAUCGCUUGAGGAGGAGCUUGCGGCAGAUUAGCUAGUUGGUAAGGUAAUGGCUUACCAAGGCUACGAUCUGUAACCGGUCUAAGAGGACGGUCGGUCACACUGACACUGAGUAACGGGUCAGACUCCUACGGGAGGCAGCAGUCGGGAAUUUUGGGCAAUGGGCGAAAGCCUGACCCAGCAACGCCGCGUGAAGGAUGAAGUAUUUCGGUAUGUAAACUUCGAAAGAAUGGGAAGAAUCAAUGGCGGUACCAUUUAUAAGGUCCGGCUAACUACGUGCCAGCCGCCGCAGUAAUAC
rnacentral:rRNA from 1 species